rnacentral:rRNA from 1 species
UACGGGGGGGGCAAGCGUUGUUCGGAUUUACUGGGCGUAAAGGGCGCGUAGGCGGCCAGCACAAGUCAGUUGUGAAAUCUCCGAGCUUAACUCGGAAAGGUCAACUGAUACUGUGCGGCUAGAGUGCGGAAGGGGCAACUGGAAUUCUUGGUGUAGCGGUGAAAUGCGCAGAUAUCGGGAGGAACACCAAUGGCGAAGGCAGCUCGCUGGGACGUUACUGACGCUGAGACGCGAAAGCGUGGGGAGCAAACAGG